AUGAAUUGCCUCAGCUGGAACUGCCGUGGCGGGAACUCAGCUGCAGUUCGAGAGCUUCGCAACAUCAUGAAGCAGGAAGGGCCCGAUCUCCUCUUUCUGAUGGAGACAAAAAUUUCGGCAAAACGAGUUGACAAUUUGAAAACCACCCUCGGUUUCGCAGGCUGUUUCGCUGUGAAUAGUGAGGGAUUGAGUGGAGGAGUUGCACUAUUCUGGUCAGUCGAUGUCAAGGUUGAGCUUAAGAAUUAUAGUUCUGGCCAUAUCAAUGUUAUGGUGCAGAAAAGUGAUCCAAAUUCUAGCCUGUGGAGAUUCACGGGAUUCUAUGGAGCCCCUAUAGCAGCAGAUCGACACCAUAGUUGGCGAUUUCUGUGUAUGCUGAAGGCGUUGCCACACGCGCCUUGGCUAUGUGUGGGCGAUUUCAAUGAGACACUUUUUGCCUCGGAACACUUCUCGCGAGCUGCUCAGCCGUAG
rnacentral:rRNA from 1 species